AUGAUUCUGAGUCCUUCUUUACAACAAAAGGAUAAAAUCAUUCUUCAAUUGAAAGCUCAAGAUUUCUAUAGAAAUAUCAUUCGGAACGCAACUCCUACCAUGAAAACAUAUGCAGAUGACAUCCAUUCUUCAUUUCUGAAAACCAUGACAACUUCCAGCAGCCAAAAUGUGCAAAUUAAACCAACACUUUCAGAGAACACAUUCAAAGUUCCUAUGUCUAAAGAAUUGUUGGCUAUACAAUCACCUCGCAUAUUACCAAUGCUAGAUGUUCCAACAAUAAUUGAUAAAGAUAAACGAGUCAACAUACAUGAAAUUCUUGAUUCAUUGGUCAAUGAUUUCCCGCAGUCUGUCAACAUAACAAGUACCAAUCUCUCUCUCUCUCUCUCUUUGUAUGGUAAUCUACCAUCUUUUGAACAACUUGCUUGCCCAAAGCUUUUUGUCAAGAGAUCAGUUCCAAAAGUAACACCCAGCAUUGAUGUUUCAGCACUGUUACAUCGUAUUUUUCUUCUCUAUAGCUGUUACUCAAUAUAUUUUUUUCUCAGUGCCCAAAUAAAUAAUGAAAUAACUCGUACCAUAUAUAUUUUUCUCUUGUACACAAUACUUGUCUGA
rnacentral:rRNA from 1 species